UAUGAGAAUCACUCUCACAACACACAGACGGUAGAAGAACAGUCCACUCUUUCUUCUCUUCUUUCCUUUUCCUCUAAUUUCAUUCUUUUUCCACUUCAGGGACUAACAACAUCUCUCCCAAUUUCUGAACGAAUGGAUUGAAAUCCAAGAUUCACUCAAGAAACGGCUGAUAACAGAUGAUGAAUUCGACUGGAAGUUACCCCCAAUGAAGGACCAAUUCUGAGGGGAUAGAAAAAAAAUCAAGAUUCCAACGGUGAAAUCCUCAAGCAUGUUGGGGGGGUUGACUUGAGUUUCUCAAGAAAUGACUCGUCAAUUGCUUGGGCAACCCUGGUAGUUUUGGACAUUUCUACUCUUGAAGUCGUGCAUCAAGAUUCCUCCAAUAUUAAGGCUGACAUUAGAUUGCCUUCGAAAGCAUGGCUUAAGUUAAUAUCGAUCAUCGACUGACGUAAUGGAAGUGGCAGAUCAUACAACUCCAGUGACGUUGAUAUCAAGAAAAGAGUUUCGCCUGACAAACCUGUCUUGAACUUGCUUCAUAGUGAAGAACUUGUCUCGUAUUGUCUUCCGAGUAUGAGCCUCAUGGGUUUUCGAGGCUUUUGUUUAUGUAAAUUAGAACACUUUGUUUAUAGAACUUCGGCAUUCUCUGUAUUAUUUUUUUAAUUUAGGCAAUAAAGAUUGUUAUUU